rnacentral:lncRNA from 1 species
ACUAACCAUGGAUUGUUGAAAGAAAAUGAGGUCUUAAGAAUAUCCCGUGCUCUAAGUCCUCUCUUACUUGGUGUUCCUGUGGUAGAGGACCCAUGUGGUAGUAAUGGAAACUCACAGGCCUGUGUUUUGAUACAGUCUUACUUUUCCUAAACUGUUAGAGGGGAGGAGUCUCAAGAAAGGAAAUGUUUAUGAUAGAACUAAAGCAGUUAGUGAUGUGUUUAGGAUUGUAAGUGAAGUUGAUUUUAAAGCCCAGAUUACAGUUUAUUUUCCUCUGUAGCAGAAAGGACAUGGAUAGUCGACCAGACAGUCUUGGGUUGGAAUGUUUUUCACUUAUUGGCUGCAAUGGACACUUCCCUGUACUUAAAUCUUCUCAUCUCAACAACUGGUUUGUUGUGGUAGUGGUUCAGUACUGGGGAUAGAACCCAGGACCUUCUAUGUGUUAAGCAAGGACUCUAUGCUGAGCUACACCUCUGUUUCAUUGUCCUCACCAAGUAUGGACUAAGUUUGCUGUGAGGAUCACUAACUCAAUACGCUUUUAGAAUAUUUACAUUGUUCUAUACCAGGAGUAUAACAUUUCAGUAAAUGGUUAAGUGUUACUUACUAAUUUAAGAGUAGAAAUAAAAUCUUGAACAGAAUUAACUAAUACCAGGUCAAAUAUGUUUGACAAACAUAUUUGUGAGAUAUUAAAUGUUUUCAUGUUCUGUUGUAGUAUGAUAGCCAAAACCAUAAAUAUCCUGAAUUUGACACAUUUUAAGAUAAUAUAGAUUUUAUUUUUAAUAAAAUAAAAUAGAUUUUAUUUUUGAUAAAAUAACAUUUUUAAUAAAAUGAAGUUCACACACAUGAAAACUGAAAUUCCAUUUUAGGGGGGGGCAUGAUGGCACAUGCCUUUACUACUCGUACUCAGGACUCUGACUUCUCCUAGGCAUAGACAGUAGGUUUUAGGAUAGCCAGGGACACAACGUUUGGUUGUAGUCAAUAUACUGUUUGGAGUUUUGUACAUUUCUGUACAAAGGUGCAUGCCUAGAGGACAUGCACUCCACAGCCCAUGAUUGCUUAGGAUGUGGGCAUCUAACCUUCUAUGCUUGAUCUUCUAGGUUUUCUUUGGUCAUUGAUUGUUUUAUUGAUUGCUGCCACCCCCUCACCUCCCAAUUUCUCACGUUUUUCUGUCAGUCGUCAUCAUCAUCACAGUCUCUAGCAUUCAGCAGGCAUCUUGAGCAGCUGACUCCUUUCAGACUGGUUGUUUCUUUGUUUUGUCUUCUUUGCGACUUAGCUAAAUUCAAUAUUUUUCAAACUAGAGUUAAGUGUUAUGCUAUACUUCACUGAAAACAUGUUGUGAUGACCCCAUUCCUCUAUUCUUAGUCUUACACUUUUCCUCUCUAGCUAUGACUGGCCUUUCUGCUUCAUAUUUUUGUGCCUGAGGUUGGAUGAAGUCCAUACUUGUCAGAUCUCAUCCUCAGUUGUCUCUAUUAGGACUGCCCUAGUCCUUGCUGUAAAUUAAGUUUUGUGUUACAGAAUAUCAUGGAUUGCUCUAUCCAUUGUCAUAGUAGUUAAUAAUGUUUUCAGUACAUACUGACUUGAUUAUUGGAUGCUAUGGGGUGAGACCAUUUCAGUAUUUACAAAGGCCAGGAAAUGUCCUGAAAACCAGC